GUCUAUGGCCAUACCACCCUGAAUGCGCCCCAUCUCGUCUGACCUCAGAAGCUAAGCAGGGUCAGGUCUGGUUAGUACUUGGUGGGAGGCCACCUGGGAAUACCGGGUGUUGUAGGCU
ensembl:rRNA 5S_rRNA 5S ribosomal RNA